AGUAUUAAAAUCGCGAUGAAAACUUACCGCGGAUUUGUGAGCGUCAGCUCUGGAUGUUUCCAGCGCCGUUUUACGUUCUCGCAGCCGUGUCUGCUUCUCUAGUAGAUCCUGGAUCUGCUUUUCCACAGCCUCCAGUUCGACUGAAGUGCGAUCGUUUCCUCAUCUGCACUCAGAGAAAUUCUCUCCAUUCUCUGGUUAACCAAAGCAGUGAAGGAGCUUCUCAACCAAAGAGGCGGCGGUUACUUAGUCCAGAGGUCCAUGAACGGAUUGCAACAUAGGUCUGUGACACCAUACUCCAACACACCAUGGAACGGUUCUGCUUCACAAGCCACCUCGUUAGUGCCACCUUGCUGCAAGCAGACAGGUUUGAACAGUACACAGUGGCGUUUCCUGAAGAUGCACUGAGUAGGACUUUGAAGGCCUAUCCAGUGCUCAAUGGGAGUAAGCUAAAGACAGAGCUUAGUCUCAUCUACUACAAGGAAGAGUUCAGAACCUGUUGUGGUGCUGUGGACCUACUGCAGCUGUUUAAGGAGAACAAUCUUGAAGAAGUCUUUUCAGAGACUGUCACUCUCCUAAAGAUCCUCAUCACCACACCCAUGACCACAGCAGAGGCUGAGAGGUGUUUCUCAACUUUGAAAAGAGUUAAGACUUUUCUGAGAAAUAGCAUGACCCAGGAGAGGCUAAAUGCAUUGGCCAUGCUGUCAAUGGAGAAGAGAAUGGUGACUGAGAUAACUGACUUUAACCAGAAGGUCAUUGAGAAAUUUGCAAGUCAGAAAGAAAGGAGAGCAAAAUUUAUUUUCAAAGAGUGUUAAUGGCCAAUGAUUAGGUAACUAU